GAUGAACGCUAGCGGCGGGCUUAAUACAUGCAAGUCAAGGGGUAGCAAUACACCGGCGUACGGGUGCGUAACGCGUAUGGAACCUGCCCUUAUCUGGGGGAUAACUCGGGGAAACUCGAGCUAAUACCGCAUAAGAUAGUAGAAUGGCAUCAUUCAGCUAUUAAAGAUUUAUCGGAUAAGGAUGGCCAUGCGUAAGAUUAGAUAGUUGGUGGGGUAACGGCUCACCAAGUCUACGAUCUUUAGGGGCUCUGAGAGGAGAAUCCCCCACACUGGCACUGAGAUACGGGCCAGACUCCUACGGGAGGCAGCAGUAGGGAAUAUUGGGCAAUGGGCGGAAGCCUGACCCAGCCACGCCGCGUGCAGGAAGAAGGCCCUCUGGGUUGUAAACUGCUUUUGAUUGGGAAGAAAGCAUCUAAUGCGUGGGAUUUUGACGGUACCAAUCGAAUAAGCCACGGCUAACUACGUGCCAGCCGCCGCCGUAAAAC
rnacentral:rRNA from 1 species